rnacentral:rRNA from 1 species
UUCAAUAUCGUUGCUUGCAACGAUGUGCACUUUUCCCUUAGUAAGACGUUGUGAUCCAUUAGGAAUUGUUUGCACUCGAUGUAAACGUUGGGCUACCGAUAGGUUUGUGUGAAGUUCACGGUGACAAACGACUAUGAUCGCUACGAUCUGGUGUAUUGUCCUGUGAGCACAUGAUGCUCUGUUGUAGCUGCCUGAUGGGUUUUAAAGGUCAUAUCAUUGAUGCUUGCAUCACCAGUUCGCUGGACAUGGAUAUGUGCCUGAUCAACAACGGUUAAAUUUGAGAUACCUUUGGGACCCGUCUUGAAACACGGACCAAGGAGUCUAUCUAGUAUGCGAGUGAAUGGGUAUCACAUGAAACCUAUUCGCGGAAAUAACUUGACUGUUAUGGGAUUACGAGUUUGUGUCUGUUAAGGGCCAUCUCCUCCAUCCCGGGGUAUUUGCAUAACAUUGCUAGCAAUAGCAAUAGCGAAUAUACCAUGAGCAUACUGGAUAUGACCCGAAAGAUGGUGAACUAUGCCUGAUCAGGUUGAAGUCAGGGGAAACCCUGAUGGAGGACCGAAGCAAUUCUGACGUGCAAAUCG